rnacentral:pre_miRNA from 1 species
GAUUUCAGCUGAAAAAGUCAUCAACAACAAAGUUGUAUAACUCAUCAAGAUCUAUAACUUCUAUUUUGGUCAUUUCUUCAUCCGACAAAGUGAUCGUAACAUUUUUACAAAAUUUACAUAUCUCUCUCUAAAGUUUAUAAAACUAUAUAAGAGAUGCACAUUUUGUGAACAAUGUUACAAAUAACUUUGUUGUAUGAAGAAAUGACCAAAAUAAAAGUUAUAGAUAUUGAUGAGUUAUACCACUUUGUUAUUGAUGACUUUUUCAGUUGAAAUC